rnacentral:rRNA from 1 species
GAGUUUGAUCCUGGCUCAGAACGAACGCUGGCGGAAUGCUUAACACAUGCAAGUCGAACGAAGGCUUCGGCCUUAGUGGCGCACGGGUGAGUAACGCGUGGGAAUCUGCCUUGGGGUACGGAAUAACUCAGGGAAACUUGAGCUAAUACCGUAUGAUGUCGCGAGACCAAAGAUUUAUCGCCCUGAGAUGAGCCCGCGUUGGAUUAGCUAGUUGGUGGGGUAAAGGCCUACCAAGGCGACGAUCCAUAGCUGGUCUGAGAGGAUGAUCAGCCACACUGGGACUGAGACACGGCCCAGACUCCUACGGGAGGCAGCAGUGGGGAAUAUUGGACAAUGGGCGCAAGCCUGAUCCAGCAAUUCCGCGUGAGCGAAGAAGGCCUUCGGGUUGUAAAGCUCUUUCGGCGGGGACGAUAAUGACGGUACCCGCAGAAGAAGCCCCGGCUAACUCCGUGCCAGCAGCCGCGGGAC